CCCUUAGAUGUCCUGGGCCGCACGCGUGCUACACUGAUGCAUACAGCGAGCACUUCCCGGCCCCGAAAGGCGGCUGGUAAUCAGCAAUAUGCAUCGUGAUGGGGAUAGUUCUUUGGAAUUCUUGAACUUGAACGAGGAAUGCCUAGUAAGCGCAAGUCAUCAGCUUGCGUUGAUUACGUCCCUGCCCUUUGUACACACCGCCCGUCGCUCCUACCGAUUGAAUGAUCCGGUGAGCUUUUUGGACUGUGGUCACGGCUUUGGUUCGCCAAACUGAGGCCGCGGGAAGAUGCGCAAACCUUAUCAUUUAGAGGAAGGAGAAGUCGUAACA
rnacentral:rRNA from 1 species